rnacentral:rRNA from 1 species
GUUAUAGGGUCAAGUGAAUAAGUGCAUGUGGUGGAUGCCUUGGCGAUCACAGGCGAUGAAGGACGUUGUAGCCUGCGUUAUGCUGCGGGGAGCUGGCAAACAAGCUUUGAUCCGCAGAUUUCCGAAUGGGGAAACCCACUCCGCAAGGAGUAUCCCACGCUGAAUACAUAGGCGUGAGGAGGCGAACCGAGCGAACUGAAACAUCUAAGUAGCUCGAGGAAAAGAAAUCAACCGAGAUUCCGAAAGUAGUGGCGAGCGAAAUUGGAACAGCCUGUACGUGAUAGUCACGAAGUCAGCAGAACGGUCUGGAAAGUCCGGCCAUAGCAGGUGAUAGCCCUGUA